rnacentral:misc_RNA from 1 species
GCAGAAAGAUCUGGUGAUAUAUGAGAUGCAUGUUCGAGGUUUUACACGACAUGAAUCUAGCAGAACUGAAUUCCCUGGGACAUAUCUUGCUACUGUGGAAAAGCUUGAUCACUUGAAGGAACUUGGUGUCAACUGCAUAGAGUUAAUGCCAUGCCAUGAAUUCAACGAGCUGGAGUACUUCAGUUACAAUUCUGUCUUGGGUGACUACAAGAUGAACUUUUGGGGUUAUUCUACUGUCAAUUACUUUUCACCUAUGACAAGAUAUUCUUCUGCUGGGACACAUAACUGUGGCUGUGAUGCAAUUCAUGAGUUCAAAUUUCUUGUUAGAGAAGCUCAUAAACGAGGAAUUGAGGUGAUCAUGGAUGUUGUUUUCAAUCACACAGCUGAAGGAAAUGAGAAAGGCCCCAUCUUAUCUUUUAGAGGAGUUGAUAACAGUGUCUAUUACAUGCUUGCUCCUAAGGGAGAGUUCUAUAAUUAUUCGGGUUGUGGGAACACAUUCAAUUGCAACCAUCCUAUUGUGCGCCAAUUUUUAUUGGACUGUUUAAGAUAUUGGGUAAUAGAAAUGCAUGUGGAUGGCUUCCGCUUUGAUCUUGCUUCUAUUAUGACCAGGGGUAGUAGUCUUUGGGAUCCAGUGAACGUAUUUGGGAAUCCAAUAGAAGGUGACUUGUUGACGACUGGCACCCCUCUUGGGAGCCCUCCAUUGAUUGACAUGAUAAGUAAUGAUCCAAUACUUCGUGAAGUAAAGCUCAUAGCUGAAGCAUGGGAUGCAGGAGGCUUGUAUCAAGUUGGUACAUUUCCUCAUUGGCAAAUAUGGUCGGAAUGGAAUGGGAAGUAUCGUGACACCGUGAGGCAGUUCAUCAAGGGUACAGAUGGCUUUUCUGGGGCUUUUGCCGAAUGCCUAUGUGGGAGCCCUAAUUUAUACCAGGAAGGAGGAAGGAAACCAUGGAACAGCAUCAACUUUGUAUGUGCACAUGAUGGUUUUACUUUGGCUGAUUUGGUGACUUAUAACAACAAAAAUAACUUGGCAAAUGGGGAAGACAACAAUGAUGGAGAAAACCAUAACAAUAGCUGGAACUGUGGACAGGAAGGGGAGUUUGCAAGCGUCUCAGUGAAGAAGUUGAGGAAACGACAAAUGUGUAAUUUCUUUCUUUGUCUCAUGGUUUCACAAGGCGUUCCAAUGAUAUAUAUGGGGGAUGAAUAUGGUCACACAAAAGGGGGAAACAACAAUACAUAUUGCCAUGAUAACUAUAUUAAUUACUUCCGGUGGGAUAAGAAGGAAGAGUCGUCAUCAGAUUUCUAUAGAUUUUGCUGCCUGAUGACCAAGUUCCGCCAUGAAUGCGAGUCCCUUGGUCUGAAUGAUUUCCCAACAGCAGAGAGGUUACAAUGGCAUGGUCAUAACCCUGGGGUGCCAGAUUGGUCUGAAACAAGCCGUUUUGUGGCAUUUACGCUGAUGGACUCGGCAAAGGGAGAGAUCUAUGUUGCUUUCAAUGCUAAUCAUUUGCCUGUUAUCAUAGCACUGCCUGAACGGCCAGGAUACAGAUGGGAGCCUCUGGUAGACACUAGCAAGCCUGCGCCAUACGACUUUCUUUCCAGCGACGUCCCUGGAAGAGAUACUGCUAUUAAACAGUAUGCUCACUUCCUUGACGCAAAUUUGUACCCUAUGCAUAGUUAUUCUUCUAUCAUCCUCAUCCUUUCUCCUGAUGAAAAUGCUUAGCUUGAAACCUAUCUUCCAUGAAAGUAAUGCUUCAAAGUCAGUUGUACAUAUUUCCAACUUAAGGCAUUUAGAGCCCAAUAAUGUACAUGCAAUGUAGAUGAUAUUUUAAACCUUUUUUAUUCAUUUACAGAAAUACCUUUAGGCUUAGCAGGUGAAAGGAUGAGGAUGAUAGAAGAAUAAC